AGCCCUCAAAUUUAUUUCUGAUAGGGAUAAACUGGAAACAUGUCAACAAUAGGUCCUAGUUGAAUUAUCACACAUCCAUAAGAAGUGUCUUGCAGCACUGACAUUUGCUUAUGAGAAGGCUGUAUUGUAUAGGAAACAAUUCAGAAGGAAAAACUGAUAUAAAAUUCUACAGAAUGGUCAACAUUAAAAUAUAGAGGAAAAUUUCCCCAGCCUUGAUAGAAGAUACAAAACAUAGACUUGUUUGGGAAGGGCAGGGGAGUAGCAGACAAAACAGAUUUUAAUCUGCAUUGUUUUAAAUAUGUUUUCUUUCAAAGAAAGCUUAAGACCUUUAAGAAAACAUUUGUGGUAUCUCUGGAGUAUAUCUUGA
rnacentral:lncRNA from 1 species